AAAAGAAAAAAAGGAGAAAAGAAAGCUGUUUCCUCUACUGCCACUAACCACCUUAGAGCUUAGAUUAGAUAGAAGAUAAGAGAGCAGUACGAGUACAUGACUGGUGACUCCGACCAGACACCAACCCACCACACCACUCCGGUGGUAGCAGUAGUAUACCAGUACUGAUACUGCUAGAAACGUAGACAGGGAUGAAAUGAAAUGCGCGGUGGGGAUUAACCGAUAACCAAAUCAAACCAACCAACCAACCAAACAAACAAUCAAAUUGGGCAACAAUGGCAUUGGUGGCUGAAGGCCUCCGCAGCUGCUGCUGUAGCAUCUUCUUCUUGCGCCUGCAGUCUCAGUACCGCCGCCGCCUCAGCCUGACUCAGCUCUCCCACUUGUGCACCACCACUGAACCAUCUUCAUCUUCUCCCUUCAAACUCAAUGGAGGCCUCCGCAAAAGAAACACCUACCUCACCACCUUAAAUCUCUCCUGCUCCAACGUUGAUGUUGAUACCGAUGACGGUGGCUGGAGUCAGCAGCAAAACCAAUCUGCUGCUGCCCGGCCGACCAAAAGGAGAGUGCUGUUGCUUCAGGGUGUCGUUGCUGCUGGCUCAUGUUCCCUCCCUCUUGCAUUAAUUACCACUCCCAUUGCUAAUGCUAAUUCUGUUGCUUUUUCAAGAGACACCGAUGCCCCCGCACAAGAUUACUUUCGUGUAUAUUCAGAUGAUGUUAAUAAGUUCCAGAUUCUGAUACCUCGAGAUUGGCAAGUGGGCAGUGGGGAGGGUGAUGGGAUAAGGUCGCUCACUGCCUUCUACCCUCAAGAGCCUUCUAAUUCAAAUGUCAGCGUAGUGAUCACGGGCCUUGGUGCUGAUUUCACCAGAUUGGAAUCCUUCGGCAAAGUUGAUGCUUUUGCAGAAACUCUGGUUAGUGGGUUGGAUAGAAGCUGGCAAAGGCCACCGGGUGUUGCAGCAAAACUUAUAGAUUCCAAAGCUGCUAAUGGAUUAUACUACAUCGAGUACACACUCCAAAAUCCUGGUGAAAGUCGUAGACACUUAUUUUCGGUGCUUGGAAUAGCAAAUAAUGGUUGGUACAAUAGAUUGUAUACUCUCACUGGGCAGUUUGUUGAAGAGGAGGCAGAGAAAUAUGGUUCCACAAUCGAGAAGGCUGUUGCUUCUUUCAGAUUAAUCUAGUUGCUGCAAAUGAGGUUCAUUAUAAUUAGGCUGGAAAUCCGAUUUUUAAAGUCUUUGGUGGAAGAACACGUUGCAUGGAAACUUUAAAUCCAGCAUUGCAUUUCAAUGUAAGGAGGUGAAGUUCUAUUUUCUGGGGACUUGUCGGCCAUUUUGAAUUAGAUGGACCUUUGUUUAGUCCAAGUGCUAAAUAAAUAGAUUUUGUUGUUUACUUCAAAUUGGACUGGCUUACUUGAUCUGCAGAACUCGAAAAGCAACUCAGAUACUCGUGUUAUACAAACUCAGCACACAGUUUUUUAGGCUUUAAACUGGAUAGAUCCCGGAAAAUUUCAAGAUAUGUUGUGGAAGUGUUGUGACUACUAUGCUAUACUACUAGUGUGCAAUUUCCUUGUAAGAAAUAAGCAUGACAUGAACUUUCCCGGGACGUUUUUUGCUCUGUUAACCAAGUACCUGUGCGUUUAUGUGCUUUGCUUGUAUCCAUAAAGCAGGAACUUUCGAGACUCUCGAGCUUUCGAAAUGAGUUUUUGAGUUUGAAACCAAGCAUAUGGUUUGGUUCUA